GCAGUAUGAAAUUUGUCGUGGACUCUUACCACUGUAUUUAUUCGUUUUUUAACUCAGACUUGAUGAUUGAAUAGAAGGCAACAAUUCCAACUAAAGAAAAGCGAAAUCCCGCUUAGGCCCUUAAAAUUACCAACAAUCAGCAUUUAUCCAAUGGUCGCCAUCGCCACCUCCUUCUCCGCCGCCGCCGCCGUCGCCGUCGCCCGCCGGAGCUCCCCGGCUCACCUCCAGCUCGUCGCUCGCCGCCGCCUCCCGUUCUGCACAGCCGCCUCCUCAUCCACCGUGCCACCUGCCGCUGCGGCGGGCUUUGGGUGGGCCGACGCCCUCCGAGUUGCCAGCGAAUUCGGGGUCGGCGAUGAGUCCGACCUUUCGGGAUACUUCCAGAAGGUCGACAUCUGCAACCGAGGAAUGGGUAACAAGGGGGAGUUCGUGGAGUUCAUGGUGGAGGAUCAAGUGGUGGGAUACAUCCACAAGGGGUUUACUGAACACCUGAGGGACUUCCAUGAUGUUUUUACCAUUGUCUCGGGCAGCAAUGGCAAGAACAGUGUGGAGCAUGUGACUCUCCACUCAUCGCUCAGGACUCCAGAAGAUCGAACAAUCGCCAUCGGAGAUGUCAUAAAAGGCCUAGGGGAACUCAUUCCUGGUAUACGAAAUGAGCUCUAUCCAGUAACCUCAUCUUACGGCAUGCCUGUGUACUUCUCUCUGGAACGUGCUGCUGCUCCCUACUUUGGUAUAAAGGCUUAUGGUGUUCAUAUGAAUGGGUACAUCGAGAAGCAUGGUGAAAAGUCUCUUUGGAUUGGUAAGAGAAGUGAUGUGAAGCAAACUUACCCUGGGAUGCUAGAUCAUCUUGUUGCUGGUGGCCUGCCUUACGGAAUCUCCUGUAAAGAGAAUAUCAUCAAGGAAUGUGAAGAGGAAGCAGGAAUACCAAGAUCCAUGUCAACCAACGCUACUUCUGUUGGAGCCAUUUCUUACAUGGAUAUCAAUGGGUUUAGAUACAAAAGGGAUGUUCUGUUCUGCUAUGACCUUAGACUUCCUGUAGAUUUCGUUCCUAAUAAUGAAGAUGGAGAAGUUGAUAGCUUCAGACUAAUCCCGGUACCACAUGCUGCAAACAUUAUACGGAGGACAGAUUUUUUCAAGCCAAACUGCAACCUUGUGAUCAUUGACUUCCUCUUCCGUCAUGGGUACAUAAACCCAGACUGUAAUGGGUACCUGAAGCUGCUGACAAGCUUGAGGAGUGGUGAUUGUUCCUAGGGCUUGCAGUUCGCUGUUCAAACAGAAGAAUCAGAUUACCAGCAUUAAUCGUUGAUUUUUUGGAGCCUGAAGCUAAACACCGUGUGCGCUCUAUCCACCAGAAUGGAACUUCGAGAUCAGUCUUUAUCAAAGCUGUAUUAAUAAUUCCUGCCGACUGGCAGUUUGCAAUAGAUCCCUUUUUUUUUGCCUUUCUUGAGUCCCUCGAUCUGGUUCAAUUUCUCGCAAAAAGCUGGGGAGUUGGAGUCGAACCUCGUACCCCUACAGGUUAGUUAUCAACUCAAUUACCACUUGGGCUGGCUCAGCUUUGAUGGUAAAUCUAGCUUUCUUUUCUUUUGUACCUUCACAUAUCCAGCCAAAAAAUAACAAAGAAAGGAACGCUUGUGUAAA